rfam:Polysphondylium pallidum PN500 unplaced genomic scaffold PPL_scaffold8, whole genome shotgun sequence.
GCGCAUGUGGUCUAGUGGUAGAAUUGAACGUUGCCAUCGUUUAGGCCCGAGUUCGAUUCUCGGCAUGCGCA